GACAGAGGCCCCGAGCGUUAGGCGGAAUCACUGGGCUUAAAGCGCGUGUAGGCGGAGGGCUAAGUACCUUGUGAAAUCCCCGGGCUCAACCCGGGAACUGCUUGGUAUACUGGUUCUCUUGAGGCAUCUAGGGGCGAGCGGAACAAACGGUGGAGCGGUGAAAUGCGUAGAUAUCGUUUGGAACGCCAACGGUGAAAACAGCUCGCUGGGGAUGUCCUGACGCUGAGACGCGAAAGCCAGGGGAGCGAACGGG
rnacentral:rRNA from 1 species